rnacentral:piRNA from 1 species
UCCCUCUUGUGGUGUGGGCCUCGAGUUG